GAUCCACCUACAGGAGGGGAAAGAUGCCAUGAGUGUGGGCCCAGCGUGGGCUGCCUGCCGGGAAGCCUUCAGAAUCGUAACAGCGCCCCUUUGGCCCGAGCAGAUGAACAACGAUAAUGUUCAGGAAAUAAACUGCACUCGGAGUGGAUGAGAAGAGAACAAGCAAGGUCCUGGUGGAGAAUGGCAGGGAAGGGGCUGGAAAGCUCCAAUAUUUCCUUACUUGAUCCCACAGUCAAUUCCGGAGAAGACAUUGAAGCCUUCAGGAUCGGUGCCCCAGGGAUGGUCGUGGGGGGUCUAAUGCGUAUAGCCAAACGCAGGAGUUCCAACCCGUGGACUGCAACACAACCAAUGCUCGUGUCGGCUUAUUAAGGCGUUCAGACCCAAUAGUUACCUGGAGUUUUGGGCCGGACGCCGUGUAGUGGUAACAAUUUGUUGCCGAAUUUACAACCUGGAAUGUUUA